rnacentral:rRNA from 1 species
GAGUGGCGGACGGGUGAGUAACGCGUGGGAACCUGCCCAAUGGUAGGGAAUAACUGCGGGAAACUGCAGCUAAUACCCUAUGCUCCUACGGGGGAAAGAUUUAUCGCCAUUGGAGGGGCCCGCGUCGGAUUAGCUAGUUGGCGGGGUAACGGCCCACCAAGGCUACGAUCCGUAGCUGGUCUGAGAGGAUGAUCAGCCACACUGGGACUGAGAUACGGCCCAGACUCCUACGGGAGGCAGCAGUGGGGAAUUUUGGACAAUGGGGGCAACCCUGAUCCAGCCAUUCCGCGUGAGUGAAGAAGGCCUUCGGGUUGUAAAGCUCUUUCGGCAGGGAAGAAACGGUCUAGGCUAAUACCCUGGACUAAUGACGGUACCUGAAGAAGAAGCACCGGCUAACUACGUGCCAGCAGCCGCGGUAAUACGUAGGGUGCGAGCGUUAAUCGGAAUUACUGGGCGUAAAGCGUGCGCAGGCGGUUUUGUAAGACAGGUGUGAAAUCCCCGGGCUUAACCUGGGAACUGCGCUUGUGACUGCAAGACUCGAGUACGGCAGAGGGGGGUGGAAUUCCACGUGUAGCAGUGAAAUGCGUAGAGAUGUGGAGGAACACCGAUGGCGAAGGCAGCCCCCUGGGUCGAUAC